GCCUGGGUGGCUCAGUCGGUCGAGAGUCUGACUUCGGCUCAGGUCAUGAUCUCACAGUUUGUGAGUUCGAGCCCCACAUCAGGCU
rnacentral:tRNA from 1 species